GACAAGUUGAGCAGUUUAAGUAAAGACGACCAAUUGAAGAGAUUAAUUGAAAACUUCAAAACAUUUUGUGAACUUGCAAAAUUUUCAACAUUAACUACUUAAUUUCACUUAAAUCCACCGAUAAAAACCCGAAUUUCACAUAAUGCGGCACCUAUGCGUACUUUUGCUAGUGACUUUAACAAUAGUUUGUGUUACAGCUCAUGGUUCGUAUCAUAGAAAACAUCGGCAUGAUGAUAAUAAACACGGAGGCAUUUCAUAUCACAAAUUUGGUCACACCGACCGCCAUAGAUCAUUAGGGCGUCAUGGAAGACAUCAUAGGAGAAAUGGAAUAUCGCGAAGCCCAACAUCGACUGUUGGUCCCUUAGAUGACCCACAGCUUGAGGAAAUCACUGAGAAGACAUUAAAGGACACCCAGCUUCCCACCCUUACAGAUGAUUUGAAUAAGGAUUUCACAAGAAAAUAUAUAAGUGAUGAAGGAGUGAAUGGUAAUCGUAGAAAUCAUUGUAAACGUGGGCGCUGGAGUCGAAGGAAUCAUUGUAGACACCAACGAUAUCAUCAUGGUCAUCGCGUUGACAAUUACGAUGAUGUCACAUUAAACAGGAUUCGUUAUGAUCGAAAAAAAAGUGACACUGCAGCCGAAAUUGAAGAAGAUGAUACAUCAAAUUUCAAAAUCGAUGUCAGAUCGGAUAAACCAGAAAACUCAGUCGACAUUGUUUAGCUGUUGAAUAUGGAUAAUUUCAAAAAUCAUCUUUUAAUGGAAAAUUGGCCAAAGGACAGCUUGUAUGUUGACGACAUGGGUGUGUUUACUUUCUGUUUAUAUGUACGUGACAAAAAGUGUUGAAAACUCAAUAAACUGAGAAUAUAUAUAAAAGUU